rnacentral:antisense_RNA from 1 species
GACAGGGGCAGCCCAGAACACUGGGGGGACUAGAUCGAUGGGGCUUCACAGAGGUGGCCCAGUUGUGCCAGAGGCAGCAGGGACACCAAGGCAGACAAGGGAGGGUCCAGUGCCAGGGGAUUCGGAGGGGCUUCAGGCGGACCACGUGGCUUUUUUUCCAUGGCCAGACUUUGGCGGUAUGUGAGGUCUGAGGACAGGGGCACUGGAGGCAAAGGACGAGACACCAGUGCCUGUUUCCAGGCAGCCAGGGCCUCAGAAACUCCGGCACCAACACUCAACAGUCCGUAGAGGCCAUUACCAGGGCCACCUUAUUUGUGAGUGGGUCCCGGCGGGUCAUCCCGGAGCUGGCCAUCCGCACCAACUUCCAUGCCCGGGCACAGAGGCCUAGCUGCCCCGCCUUGUGCAUGGCUCAGACCAGCAA